rnacentral:rRNA from 1 species
GACGAACGCUGGCGGCGUGCCUAAUACAUGCAAGUUGAGCGCUGAAGGUUGGUACUUGUACCAACUGGAUGAGCAGCGAACGGGAGAGUAACGCGUGGGGAAUCUGCCUUUGAGCGGGGGACAACAUUUGGAAACGAAUGCUAAUACCGCAUAAAAACUUUAAACACAAGUUUUAAGUUUGAAAGAUGCAAUUGCAUCACUCAAAGAUGAUCCCGCGUUGUAUUAGCUAGUUGGUGAGGUAAAGGCUCGCCAAGGCGAUGGUACAUAGCCGACCUGAGAGGGGGAGCGGCCAAAAUGGGAAGGAGACAAGGGCAAAAAGCCUAAGGGAGGCAGCAGGAGGGAAACAUCGGAAAAGGACGAAAGUCUGAACGAGGAAAGACGCGUGAGGGAAGAAGGGUGUCGGAUCGUAAAACUCUGUUGGUAGAGAAGAAAGUUGGUGAGAGUGGAAAGCUCAUAAAGUGACGGUAACUAAACAGAAAGGGACGGCUAACUACGUG